CCUGAUGCUCGCCAAUCAAUUUAGCUAAAUUAUCAGUUCUUUCCUUAUAUGCUAGGCUCAAUACCUUGUUGUUUGCCUUCUCAGAUAUAAUUGGCCGAAUGACCAGUAAGGCAAACUUCUGACAUGCAUUGAUCAUUCUCUUGGUCUGGCAAGCGGUUACCAGGUCUACAGUUGUUGAUAAUGGCUCUGUGGUGAACAAAAAUUUCUGCCCAUCCUUAAUAAAUUGGUAUUGCCGAGGACGACGGAAGAAGGUAGCGUCACGGUCCUAUAGGUAGGGACUGCCGAAAAUGAGGUUGCAAAUAUUCAGCGGCACAA
rnacentral:lncRNA from 1 species